UCUGUGGGCAGCAGAGCCACCUGCUGCUAUUCUGGUGAGGCACACCCAUUGCUCCUUCCAAGGACCUUAUCAGAAGCCAAAGGGCUGGGAGCCUAGACAUGAAGCAGGAACUUCUGUGGUCUGUUACUCUAAUGAAGUCUGCUCUGCCUCAGCUGUCUUCUCUCUCAUUCCAGGACAGUCAGGCUCUCAAUGUUUCUGCUUCUCUAAGCCCCUGGGUAUUGUGGUUAUCAUAGCUGCUUUCAUUAUCAUCAUUGGCGCUGUCAUCAUUUUGAUUCUCAAAAUCAUUUGCUAUUGUAAAAGAGGAGAGAAUAUUCAGCUCUCCUCCACUAUGCUAUGAAGCUCUGGAAAGUAAGCAGAUGGCAUUCCUGAAGAUCACUGGAUUUAAGGAAGUUAGGAAGCAAUGAACACUAUUGUUUCUAAACUGGAGACUGACCUUGCAGGAAUGUAUUUGCAAACUGUGGCAACUUAGCUGCUAAAAAUUGUGUUUGCUUCACCCUCAAGCUAGAGUCAAGUGUCCUUUGAUACAGGACUGAAACAUUCCAAAUAGCCCAUCUGAAUUUGGAGCUGACAUUCAUCCCACUGCAUACCCCGUGGUCCCCCAGAUAUGUGAUGUGCCCAUCUUUCUUGUGAAGACCAGAGGGCUUCUCUCUGUAUGCAGCCAGAGGGCUUCCCUCCUUGAAGCCUGCCUUGGCUGGCCUCAGAGAUAGGAGGUUUUGUGCUAUGAACUUGUAAGCUAAAGUCAGUUUGGGCUCAUGGUGCGCAGAAUGUCCUCCUAGAAGGCAAGGAUGGGAGGACCCAAAAAUGUUGUCCUUUGAGCCCACAUCAGGAUGUGGCCCAGACAAGGUGCUUUGUUAUCCAUAAAAACCCAUAACAAAGCCCCUGGCAGGCCAGGCUGAGCAACUGUGGACUUUGCCACACCAGACACUGGGAAUAGUGUCUGUGUUUUUAGGCUCUCCACCCCCCAGGCAUCUAAGAACUAGCCUUAGUCUUUUUUGGGAAGGAAAGGGUUUAUUUGGCUUACACUUCCAUACUGUUGU